rnacentral:rRNA from 1 species
UGACUGCGUACCUUUUGUAUAAUGGGUCAGCGACUUAUAUUCUGUAGCAAGGUUAACCGAAUAGGGGAGCCGAAGGGAAACCGAGUCUUAACUGGGCGUUAAGUUGCAGGGUAUAGACCCGAAACCCGGUGAUCUAGCCAUGGGCAGGUUGAAGGUUGGGUAACACUAACUGGAGGACCGAACCGACUAAUGUUGAAAAAUUAGCGGAUGACUUGUGGCUGGGGGUGAAAGGCCAAUCAAACCGGGAGAUAGCUGGUUCUCCCCGAAAGCUAUUUAGGUAGCGCCUCGUGAAUUCAUCUCCGGGGGUAGAGCACUGUUUCGGCAAGGGGGUCAUCCCGACUUACCAACCCGAUGCAAACUGCGAAUACCGGAGAAUGUUAUCACGGGAGACACACGGCGGGUGCUAACGUCCGUCGUGAAGAGGGAAACAACCCAGACCGCCAGCUAAGGUCCCAAAGUCAUGGUUAAGUGGGAAACGAUGUGGGAAGGCCCAGACAGCCAGGAUGUUGGCUUAGAAGCAGCCAUCAUUUAAAGAAAGCGUAAUAGCUCACUGGUCGAGUCGGCCUGCGCGGAAGAUGUAACGGGGCUAAACCAUGCACCGAAGCUGCGGCAGCGACACUAUGUGUUGUUGGGUAGGGGAGCG